AAUCUCUGGCUUCCGGUCAAGACAUGGAAUAAAUCUUUCGCCUUUUACUAAAGAUUUCCGUGGCCAGGAGCAUUUAAUGAGUCUAUAGACUAAUUUUUGGCGUCCCGUCUUCGGAUGGGAC
rnacentral:snRNA from 1 species